ensembl:lncRNA
UGUCCAAAGUAAUUUAACGUUAAUAUUAUACCAUUCACAGUGUUAUUCAUAGCUUUCUCGUCUUUUUUAACAGGGACCAAGGAACAAACGGAGGCGUUCAUACGUCUCCGUUUAGAAAACAAGCAGCUGUUUACCGGGGGGAGAGACACCGCGGCGAACGGAUAUCGGCUUGUUUUGGAGAAGAUGAGGGUCGAAGGGAGGGUUUCCCACGCCCAGGCAAAAAAACAGUGGGACAACUUAAAAACCAAGUACAAGGAAUGUAAGUGUCCUGCCACAGGUCAAGGGACAGAGGAUGGCAAGGCGACGGCAGCAAAUUGGCCCUGGUUUGCCCUCAUGGACGAGGCAUUAGGGCAGUCUGCAGCAGUCUCGCCCCCUUGCCUUAUUUCCUCGAUCCAGGAGGAAAAACCAGGGCCAAGCACUGCACGAGAGGUAGAUGAAGGGAGAGGCGAGGAUGAGGAGACAGUAAGAGACAGGAGCAAAGAGAGAGCAGGGCACAGAGGAGAGAAGAGGAGAAGGGAGCGAGAGGAUCCAAUCCUACAGCUUCUAAAAGAGGAUAUUAAAUACCAGAGGGAGGCAGAUGAGAGAAGGGAAGCAGAGGCCAGAGAGAGGUCAAACCGCUUUUUUUUUGCUGUUGGAGAGGUUGGCGGAAAAAUAAAGUCAAUUAAAUUGAACUGGUUUUGUCUUUGCCCCUUAAUUAUUUAAUAUAAACUGUAUAUCCAUUUUUUUUAAAAACCUUGUUCUUUAGACCGCAGUAGAAAAACAAAACAAUGUAUUGAACAAUAUCUUCACCCUUAUUUACAACGUUUUGUGAUUCGGUAUUCCAAGCUCUACAAAAAGCAUUAAUUUCAUCUUUGUUACAUAAAAAAAAUUUAUUGAAACAUUUCUAUAUUGACAACUAUAUACAUGAAGCAGCAAAUUCAUUUAAACAGCAUUCUCAUAUCUACAACUAUAUACAACAACUUAAACAUUUACAACUAUAUACAACAAGACGAGAAGAACACAAGUGGCCAUCAGCCACACUGCCUACAGCACCGCCGGUGCUGCUGUUGUUGCUUCAAGGCUGCAGACAGAAGAAGAAAGUUUAGGUUAGUCCAGUGGUAAUCCAAUCUGUCAUGUAAGAUGAUAAUUGAUUCUACAACAGUUGCAGUAUAUUUAAUAUUGUAUCACUGAAGGUAAAUAAAAUAUACUUAAUGUACUUUUAUGGUCA